UUUAAGUGCAGUUGUAGAUUCCGUGUUCAACAUUUGACCGUUCGCUUUAUUUGAAAUUUUUUAUGAUUAAUUAUGUGUUAUUAGAUGAUAAAAUAUGAAUAGUACUUUAUGUCUGACUUAUUUUUUAAAAUUUUUCAUAAAUCUUUCAAAUAAGAUGGACGAUCAAUACGAAAACCCGUAACUGCACUUAAA
rfam:Oryza punctata chromosome 8, whole genome shotgun sequence.